ensembl:antisense Gm29100 predicted gene 29100
AGACCUGUUACCCAGCCUGAAUCCCUUGCCUCUGUGUCUUUCCAAGUUCAAGGAUGGUGGUACUUAAGCACACAACUCUAAAUACGAUCCACCUGCUUGCAGGCAGCCAGAGACUCCAAGCCGCUACAUCCACCCAGGCCUGGGCGCUUGAGGGUUCCAUACUUUUGGGGCGACAAGGGUCUACUGCAUUCUUGGCGCCCAGAGAUUUGCUCCUCUGUGAACCUGGAGCCCCAGCGCUGAACAGAAACCUCUCUGCCGCGCCAGGGGCCAGCAUCAUCUUACGUACUGAGCCGGCUAGGGCUUGAACGCCCUAGCAUCCAAGGCGCGGGCCGGAACUGCGGAUCAGAAAGAGCGGAUUGUCUGUACCACGCGUGGGCUCCUCAGCUCCAUAGAAUGAGCGCGAGGCAACAGGUCGGCCACAACCCAGCGGGCAUCGCAUCUCCUGGCCUCCGCUGGCCUAAGGAAGACGUUUUGACAACCGCUCCCCACAGAGUCACCCACAGAUACCCAUCCACCAAAAAUGAAAAGUGACCAUUUGUCCAAUAAGUGUAUUUGGACCCUGAUGGGGAACCACAGGCGGGUGGAUUCCGAACGGAUACCCUUGGCAAAAGACCUUGGGCGUGCCCCCGGGGUAGGAGAGUUUUCUCAGGUCGCGCCAACCCUUGCAGGGUGAGGAAGCUCACCCCAUCCCUGUGCGGUUGCCUGAGGUACCUUCACGAGGAGAGAUACACUGGCCCGUCCGCCCACCCACCCGUGCGUCGUGGAUGCCCACCACACGCAGCACCUACCCUGGCUUGCGGCUCCGGAGGUGGAUGGCACGGCGCGGCGCUAGUGGGAGGCGGACAUGGACCACGCGCCCUCCAUGCGCCACACGGAGAAGGCGUAGCUGAGACGCUCGUGAGCCACGUAGCUGCAGCUGGUCAUCUUAUUGUCCAUCUCGUCGCUCUGGAGAACCUGGUAGAGGAAGUCUAUGUACCUGGCGGCCAGCUUGAGCGUCUGGAUCUUGCUGAGCUUGUCAGAGGGGAGCGUGGGGAUGAUCUUGCGCAGCGCGGCGAAGGCCUCGUUGAGCGACUGGGUGCGCUGGCGCUCGCGCACGUUGGCCAGGAUGCGCUGGCUCUGCAGCUCCUCGAAAGACUGCGCGCUCGGGCUGCCCUUCUUGCCGCGCUUACCCGGGGUCGGGCUGCCAUCUUCGCUCGAUUUCUUGCUGUAGCGCCGCUUCCGGCCGAAGCGCUUGGGCUGCCUCUCCAGCUCUUCCUCACUGGUGCCCAGACUGUCCACGGGGGACACCGGCGAGCUGGAGCCCUCCUCCAUGGCGCCCGCCCGGCGCGCGUGGGGCUGGGGGGCGCCGAGCGCACGCCACUGGCCAAGCCCGCGGCCGCCGAGCACAGGCUCCCGGGUCGCUCUCAAAGGCUCUGAUUUCGAGGCCGGCUUGUGCAAAACCGAGGUCUCCGGGAGAGGAAGUUAUUCUAACUUUUUUGGAAACUCUAUCCCGGCUGGGUUGCUAAAUAGCUGUCAGGAGCGAGGGCGGCGCGCUGAUUGGCCACCGUGGCCAGGGGCAGGACAAAUUCUGGGGCCUUCGCCGGCCGCCCCCGCCCCCCCCCCCCCCGGGCGGCACUUUCAGUUUUGUCUCCGCUUUUUUCGGCCCUGACUGUGGCCCGCAUCUCGGAGGCCAGAUCCGCGCGCUCAGCCUGCGCUCCUACCCCAGGCGCGGGCCGCUAAUCAGCGGUGCUGACCUCUAAGUUCAACGGUGCCUGCCUUUGUCUGAGUCUCCUGGAGCAGAUUUGGCCCUGCCAGGGUUCAGGGUCUCUGCGAGGGGUGGAGGAGGCAAGUCCAAGCCCAGAUGUGCUCCGUGGACCAAGGACGCAGCUGGGAGCCUCUUGGGGCGCGCACUGAGACCUCCGGCGUCUGCAACGCGAUCCUGCCCGCAGUGAGUGGAGCUGUGCAGGCAGAGUGCCACGACCCGGGGCAGGGCAGAUACUCGCCUGUUGGCAGAGAUGUCCACCCCCACGAUCUCGCCUCUAGGAUCUAUAGAGACGCCGCCCGGCUCGGGCCAGUAUGCAAGUUGGAGAUCCUUUUUCAAUCCCGAUUUUCUGGGCUACUUCAGCCUGGACACGUUUUCAGAACCUGCCCCCUAAAUGCUUUAUAGCUUAGGCAUCACAGCGAGCCUCUGCGGGAGCGCCCAUGUGCCCGCCAUGCCUGCCUACCUGACCUUGCCCUGAGUGUUGGAUCCCGGUUUGGGGUUCAGCCUCAGCCUCUGUACUGUGCUUCACUUGCAGGCGGGUGGUGGGCCCAGAACACUGAGACUAGGGAGAGGCUGAACCUGUCUGAAGUCCCCUGCCCUGGGCACUGAUGGGCAGGGCAGGAGGGCUCAGGAUUGCAGAACAUUGGGCCAGGCCUUGGUGAACAGACAUCACGGAUCCCGGCCCUUUGCCAUCUGGACUCUGAGCGCCGAGCGCCAGCCAGCGCGUUUGAAGUGCUUGGGGUCUCUUUGUUCGCCAGGCCGCUCUAGCUGGGGCCUGGAGGUGGUUUACAGCUUCCUUGCCUUUGAACCUAUUCCCAGGUGACCCGGGCUCAACUAGGCCAGGCUUGAGCAUGGCUGUCAGAGAAGCCCUGUGAUCAAGGGCUAACUAGGUCUUAUUGAAGUUGAACCUGAGGCCAGAGACUGCUACAGCCUCAGCCACUCCUGGGGGCAGUGGGGAGGGCCCCCGAUGUGGGGCCCUCGGGUUGAGACCACUGUCUAAGGAGCUGGAAGAGCUGUGUAUGCCACUUCUUGCCCCCUCACCAAAGGCCUGGGCUCUCCACCUUUGGGGACAUGCAACACGCACCACUGGAACAAUGCUCUGUGGAGAGCAGGCCCACUCACAGAGGACUGUCACAGCUCUGUGGCUCCUUAAACAUUCUCAGGCUUCAGAAGGGUAGUUAAAGGUCUCCUUCAGCCACAGUGCCCAUUGCCAGGCUGACUUGCCUUCUGGGAAGGCCACAUUUUAUCCAAUGUCCCUUUCCUUCAUCUUUUAAAAAUUCAAAGUUCCUUUAAGGACCAAAAAACCGCAUCCAGAUCCCAGCUUCCUGCCUGCAUGAGACGGCCUUUCCUGGGACUUCCGGGUGGAAGGCAUAGGGUGCAGGCAUGCUGGGUCACGUUUGGGUGUAUCACUCAAACGGGUGAGGCAUCUCCUGACCUGGAUCCCCUUUAAAGUCCCCUUUAAAGUCCGGCUUAAAUAAAUAAAUCAGGUGAUACUGUCCUCCCUCUGUAACCAAAGGGUGUUUUCCCAACAGAAGCCUUCUGGUGCCCAGCCCAGCAGCCACCCCCUCCCCUGUGUCUGUGUUUCUCUUUCUCACUGUCUUCUCCUCUCCCCUCCUCCCUUCCUCCACCAGGCAGAGGUCAUAGUUGAGAGGGAAAGGAAAACAGCCCAGCCAAGAAGCCUGGUAGGUCUCAAGCUGCCUGCCCGGGCUCAGUUCAGCCAGAGGAUGGGGGUGGGGACAUUGCAUGGAACAUAGAGCUGCCACUCAGAAUGGGGGCUCCCCUUUACAUAGGACAGUAGUUCUCAGCCUUCCUAAUGCUUCGACCCUUUAAUACAGAUUCUCAUGGGUGGUGACUCCCCGAACCAACCAUACAAUUAUUUCAUUGUUACUUAGCAACUGUAGUUUUGCUACUGUUAUGGAUAGUAUUAUAAAUAUCUGAUAUUUAUAUCAGACAUGCAUAAAUAUCCAUAUUCAGGAUAACUGAUAUGUGGGCUCCCCAAAGGGGUCAAGACCCACAAGUUGAGAACCACCGACCUGGGAGCAAGCAUUAAAGAUUUCCCCUGGGGCCAGUUGUAAAUUCCCAGCCAGCAACUCACUUAGGUUUUUGCUCUUCUUCUAUGUUGAUCUUUUCUAUUUUAAACACUUUUAACAAAUCAGAAGUGUAAAGAGCCUGAGGAAAAAACUCUUGCUGGUGGAAUUUGGAAACCUCUCUCUUGCCUUAGUUGAAACUUAAAAAGAAGGCACAGACACACACCAGAGCCUCCCCUAUGUUAGGACCGGGAUGGCGGGAAGGUGGUGAGCAGCCUUCUCUAUUCAGUUUUGAAAUGAAGCACUGAUGAAAAAUGAGCCAGUUUGGGAAAUAAUACUCUGCUUAUUGAUAUCACCUGAUUUUUUUUUCUUUUAAAAACCAAGUCAUUAAUAAGGCUAAUAAAACCGAAGUAUUAAUAACACAGGAACAAAAUGUGUUUGUGUGUGGGUAUCCACCAGACCACCCAGGCUCACUCAGACGUGUGUGUGAAAUAUCAUGCAAUAAGGGUCCAUGGGCACACAUGCAGUUCUUGGUAUAUUUAUUCAUUAUCGAUGUGGAAAAAUCAUGUCAACGCUUCUUUUCGUAUAUGUAAAAAUGUGUACUUUGUUUCACAGGACUUCAAUUUAUUAAAUAAAAAAAUAUGACCUGGA